CAAUAAGAACGUGACAUAUGACAG
rnacentral:miRNA from 1 species